rnacentral:lncRNA from 1 species
UUUUUUUUUUGUCUCAUUCGAUGUCGAUGUUGUCUGAAGGUUCCUGGUCGUCGCCACAUUGGCUUGCUUUUCUUGUCAUCUUUCUUUUUCGGCCUUAAGAGCUUUGUAAUGCAUACUUAGUUAAUGAAAUGAAAAAAAAAAUUUCAUUACCUCUUCUACUCAUGUGUUGAGUUGUCGUUUGCCGAACUUCUUUCGAUUUUUGCCUUGCUCGAUAUCGAUGUCAUUCGAAGGUACCCAAUCG